rnacentral:rRNA from 1 species
CCUACGGGAGGCAGCAGUGGGGAAUAUUGCACAAUGGGCGCAAGCCUGAUGCAGCCAUGCCGCGUGUAUGAAGAAGGCCUUCGGGUUGUAAAGUACUUUCAGCGGGGAGGAAGGGAUGACGUUUAAUACGCGUCGUCAUUGACGUUACCCGCAGAAGAAGCACCGGCUAACUCUGUGCCAGCAGCCGCGGUAAU